ACCAACCAAAACAAAAAGCUCGCUCACUCCUCAACGACCACAAAGCAAACUAACUGAUUCUGCACACUUAAAAAGUCAUGGCUGUUCUUCAACAUUCAUGGCUUUCUACUUUCAACACUACUGCUCUCUUCUCUUCCUUUAACCCUCAGAAGAACUCUCCUUUCAAACUAUCCUUCUCUCAAACCCGAUCCAAUGAUGAAGCUUCACAGCCCAUUUCACCAAACUUGGAAGAAACAAUUCCUGAAUCAACAAAGGGUCCUGUGGACCCUGUUAAGCUUGCUUUUGAGAGGGCUAAAGCGUAUAAGAAAAUGAAAGUGAACCCAGAUUCAAAAACUGAACAGAACCCAGGAGGGGAUUCUGGCAGAGAUAGGAAAAAGACUGGCGGAAGUAAGGAAAUUCCUGCUUCAGUUAAGGUUGCAAUGGGAAAAGCAAGAGAGUACAAGGAGAAUACAGUGGUUCUUGGUGGUGUGGACAAUGCCAGUGAGAGCAGAAUUGCUUCAGGCAUUGAUUUUUUAGUCAAGAACACUGAGAGUAGCGGUACGUCACAUCUAGGCAAGACUGUGGAGAAGAAGGUUCAGAAGGAGGAAAAAUUGUCAAUCUCAAGCAUUGACUUCGUAGGGCUUGAGUUUGCUGAUAAGAAAAAGGGCAGAGGACUACCAGCUGGACUGGUUCGAGUUUCAGAUACUUUUCCAGAAGGUGAUUUGCCUGAUGUGGAGAUUAUUGUUGGGGACACCAGCAAGUUUGGGGAGGCAACAACAUCAGAGGAAAAGCAAACCAUAGAAGAUAGCUCGGAAAUUUAUAAGCCGAAGGUCUCAACAUGGGGAGUUUUCCCUAGGCCUGGCAACAUCUCCAAGACGUUUGGUGGUGGAAGGACUAUUCGACCUGGGGAAGGGCUUGAAACAGAAGAAGAUAAAGCUGCUAAAAAUGAGCGCACAAGGCAGUUGCUUGCUUCUUACAAGAUGAAAAUUGGAUUGAAUGUUGACCCGAAGCUAAGAUCUGAGUGUGAGAAGGCAUUGAAGCAUGGUGACUCAUUAAUGGAUUCUGGGAAGCUUAAGGAAGCUUUAUCCUAUUAUGAAAGAGUAAUGGAGAAGAUGCCUUAUCAGAGUGAACUUCAUGGAUUAGCUGCUUUGCAGUGGUCUAUCUGUCAAGAUUCACUUAGUAGACCAAAUGAGGCCCGGAUUAUGUAUGAGAAGCUCCAGUCUCAUCCAAAUGCCAAUGUAAACAAGAAAGCAAGGCAGUUUACGUUCAGUUUCAAGGUAAUUGAUAGUGAACUUAUCGGUUGCUCCACAUUCCUAUGCUGGAUGUACAUUAUGCGAAAGAACUUCAAGUUGUUCGCUACAUAACCAAAAUAUGAAAGAUAAACUGAAUAUGUGAUUCUUCAUCGCAAGUUGAAAUUAGAGUAUACUAGAUAUCAUCUAAAUAAUUGAGGUCUGGGAACAAAAUGAGGUAGAAACACUAUAUCGGGAUCUCUGGUGAUGAAGUCAAGUGCUGCAGGUCAUCUUUAGGCAGAGCCAUGGAAAUGAUGAAGGUCACAGGCUCCAACCCCUCACUAAAGAACACAGGCUACCAGAAUUAUUUUGAGGCAUUUAUUGAAGAUAAAGCCUACAACUCUCUGGAAGGGGCCGAAGUCACAGAAGGUGCACUGAACCAAG